GGUGGGGUGUCCGAGUGGUUUAAGGAGCUGGUCUUGAAAACCAGUAGGGCCGCAAUGUCCUCGUGGGUUCGAAUCCCACCCCCACCG
rnacentral:tRNA from 1 species